AACCCUAGCUGCCAUAGAUGCGAGCAAGAUAUAUAUAAAACAGCAAAAACACCGAAAGAUCCCCCAAAAAAUUACCAAAAAUAGUUCUGUGUGUGUGAUUUCUGUUCUUGUUGCCCUGUUCUGUUGUUCGAUUCCAUCUUAGAUCAUAACAGUGGUAUCAGAGCCACUGAUUCUCGGCCUUAGAUCGGUUCUUGUGGUAGCUUUGGACAAGGGUUUGAGCACGAGUUGUUCCGUAAAAUUCCGGAGCCUGAUCUAUCCAGGAAGGAUUUAGGGGUUUGUGGUGUUGGAGUGCAAUUGAGAAGGUUGGAUUAGCACACUGCUUUUCAUGUAAAAUCCCCUCUCUUUUGAAUCCCACCCUCCCAUCCCAUGACGAAGACGACAUCUCUGAUGGAGGCGAUUGCUGAAGCUCUAGACAAACUCACUGCUUCCCUGGAUGAUCUCAAGACACAACAAGCAGAGUAUGAACAGAAGCAACAUGCCAAGCUGCAGGGUUUCUCAACAAGCACCUGUAGCAAUGGAGGUUCAGGAAGCCAAGCGGACCAUGUAUCAUCAAGCCAAGAGAAAAGAGCUUCUUUUGCAUCCAUCCGACGGAACAUUUUGAGGACCAUGCGAUCAUUCCGUGCUAUAUCCGCAAGCAGAUCAACAAUUGGAUGUCCAACAUCGUAUCUUUGCUGGAUAAGGAAUGGUUUAUGUACACUGUGCAAGUUCAAGUUUUUCGUCAAAAAAAAAAGUUCAAGUCACUCCCAAUGUCACUUUCUUAAAUGGGAAGAAGUGGCAAGACUUUGUCACUGAUCAUGGUCUUGCUCUAGGAGACACUCUGACGAUCAAGUUUCCGAAGAACAAAGACGAAAGCAUCUUCAUAACUGACUGCAUAACAGCAAGGGACACCGCAAGGAACGACUUGAUAAGACAAGUUCGAUUAAUUGUUCUUUGGUUUUAUCUUUUAUAAUUUCAAUUGUUGAAAUUUUUUAAUUGUUAUUUUAACCUUCAGUCUCUUAAUUUUUUUUGUUUGCAGUCUCUAAUGCAGCUUUCAACACUGAUGUUGAUUACAAGCUUGCAUAUGUUUGCUACACAAAGGGCAUCUCUCUUUCUGAUGUUGAGAAAGAGAAUCUGCUCAAACACAUCGAGAAUAGUGGUUUUGGGGCAUCAGCAUAUUUCGUGCACCGUAUAACCAACACCAACAAGAAGGAGGGCUUGAAAGUUCCAAAAGCCAUCACAUAUGCUCUUAGGACACAAAUCAGAGGCGAAAUGAUUGUAUAUGUCAGCAAACCAGAGUGCGAAUCAACAUUUCAGUAUCGUGUUGACAUUGAUGGGCAUAGGCAACAACAGGAUGCACUUUGUGGACAAAGUUUGUUGCGAAAGCCAAGUUCAAGACAAACGAGCUCGUUUCAUUCAUCAUCUAUAAGGAAUCAGCACACAUAGUCAUCAGCGGCGAGAAGCUAUAAGAUAGAUGUUCGUCUAACUAUGAGUUGUUUAGAUGUGAUCUGAAUAUAUCAUAGAUCCUCUGAAUAUUAGGUCAUGGUAGAUUAUGCUAAUGAAAACUAAGCCUUUUGUUCUUUGUUGUAAGGUUGUUCUUAUGAAAACGUAUUAGGGGUUCAAUUUGUAAUGGUAGAUGCACUUUGAAAUGGAGCUCCCGAGGGGGCUUCUGCUCUAAGUUUAGUGUUUGUUCUUCUGGAAUUUUAUUCUGUGUAAUGGCAGAUGGGAAGAACUUUAG